GUGUAUCAUAAAUUCUUCACCUGUUACUUGUUGACCAACAAAGAGAUAAGCUUCAUACUCAAUUCAUUUUCUGCACACAGAUUUUUCUGCACAUAGUUAUUGUUUUGUUGUUCUUCUUCAACAGUUUUGGACAAACAACCAAAUUUAUGUUUUGAGAGGGUGAUUUAUUUCAGUUAUAACCACCCGGUUUAAUAGGAAUUGAAGACUAGAAAGUUG
rnacentral:lncRNA from 1 species